CUGGUGACAGGGUGCCAGGAAGUGGUUCCCAAAGUUCUGCGGUUCUCCUUUCCACGCCGUCAAGUUACAGGUUGUAAACCCCAGCCCCAAACUAUCACAUCAACAAAACCCUGGCUGAAGAGGAUCAGGCACCUUUCAAUGAUGUUUUAAAAUAAUAUUAAUUGGCCACUUCAUCUUGACAAUUGAACGACUUUCUAAAAGCGAAAGGGUUUGAACCGAAGGAAAUAAAGAAAUAGAAGUGGCCAUCCCGAACCUCCGAGGCUGGUGUCUCUAAGACACCUCAAUAUCCACACCGCAGAAGUUUCUGCAGACCCAGGCUGUCGGAGGUCUCACUGGUGCCAGGAGGCCGGUUAGCUUUGCAGUUUCUCAGGGCAAAACAGGUGCUGACCCAACCCGGACUGCGAGGGUCAGUGACCACAAGAAUGGAGCUGAAUCACAGUCACCGUUCACAUCGGCACUGGGAAUGCAGAUGGGGUCUUGAAUGCAGCUCUGACACCUGUGAUUUUGGGGUGUGACCACGAGAUGUGACAAGGCUGGACCAUACCAAUGGCAUCCCAUGUAAACAAACACGUUUCUUCAAAUCAAUGACAAAAAUACGAAUGGUUCUAGAAAUGCCCUCAUUUUAAGAGUGCCAAUACAAA